rnacentral:rRNA from 1 species
GUAGGUGGCAAGCGUUGUCCGGAAUUAUUGGGCGUAAAGCGCGCGCAGGCGGUCCUUUAAGUCUGAUGUGAAAGCCCACGGCUCAACCGUGGAGGGUCAUUGGAAACUGGGGGACUUGAGUACAGAAGAGGAAAGCGGAAGUUCCAAGUGUAGCGGUGAAAUGCGUAGAGAUUUGGAGGAACACCAGUGGCGAAGGCGGCUUUCUGGUCUGUAACUGACGCUGAGGCGCGAAAGCGUGGGGAGCAAACAGGGAUUAGAUACCCUGGUAGUCCACGCCGUAAACGAUGAGUGCUAAGUGUUAGGGGGUUUCCGCCCCCUUAGUGCUGCAGCUAACGCAUUAAGCACUCCGCCUGGGGAUACGGCCGCAAGGCUG